AAUCAGCUCGGCAACGAAAAUAGUGUGGGCAAGAACUAGUUCGGUUGGCUGUGGGAUGAAGCGAUGUUGGGAUCCGGAAAAUGGGCCAGUGGUUGUUGUGUGCAAGUAUUAUGUUCAAGGAAACGUCGUUGAUGAGCCAAUCUACGUAGAGGGACCGACAUGCUCGGCUUGUCCAGUACUCACACGUUGCCGGGCUAAUAAGUAUGAUAACGCUGGAUUAUGUGCUUAAUGGGAUAAAUAAAUCUUGCAUCUUGAC
ensembl:lincRNA linc-101 ncRNA